ensembl:misc_RNA
AAUCCUGUCAUACCUCGGAUUUUGGUGCCUUCAGUCUGAAAAAUACACACAUCCAUUUGGUACCCUAGAGGAACUGGAGAAUUGUCUUCCCCUGAAUGAAGCUGGACCAUUCUGGGAUUUGGAGAAAGGUAAG